rnacentral:rRNA from 1 species
GUUUGAUCAUGGCUCAGAUUGAACGCUGGCGGCAGGCCUAACACAUGCAAGUCGAACGGUAACAGGAAGCAGCUUGCUGCUUCGCUGACGAGUGGCGGACGGGGGAGUAAUGUCUGGGAAACUGCCUGAUGGAGGGGGAUAACUACUGGAAACGGUAGCUAAUACCGCAUAACGUCGCAAGACCAAAGAGGGGGACCUUCGGGCCUCUUGCCAUCGGAUGUGCCCAGAUGGGAUUAGCUAGUAGGUGGGGUAACGGCUCACCUAGGCGACGAUCCCUAGCUGGUCUGAGAGGAUGACCAGCCACACUGGAACUGAGACACGGUCCAGACUCCUACGGGAGGCAGCAGUGGGGAAUAUUGCACAAUGGGCGCAAGCCUGAUGCAGCCAUGCCGCGUGUAUGAAGAAGGCCUUCGGGUUGUAAAGUACUUUCAGCGGGGAGGAAGGGAGUAAAGUUAAUACCUUUGCUCAUUGAC